GAUGAACGCUGGCGGCGUGCCUAAUACAUGCAAGUCGAGCGAACAGAUGAGGAGCUUGCUCCUCUGACGUUAGCGGCGGACGGGUGAGUAACACGUGGAUAACCUACCUAUAAGACUGGGAUAACUUCGGGAAACCGGAGCUAAUACCGGAUAAUAUAUUGAACCGCAUGGUUCAAUAGUGAAAGACGGUUUUGCUGUCACUUAUAGAUGGAUCCGCGCCGCAUUAGCUAGUUGGUAAGGUAACGGCUUACCAAGGCAACGAUGCGUAGCCGACGUGAGAGGGUGAUCGGCCACCCUGGAACUGAGACACGGUCCAGACUCCUACGGGAGGCAGCAGUAGGGAAUCUUCCGCAAUGGGCGAAAGCCUGACGGAGCAACGCCGCGUGAGUGAUGAAGGUCUUCGGAUCGUAAAACUCUGUUAUUAGGGAAGAACAAAUGUGUAAGUAACUAUGCACGUCUUGACGGUACCUAAUCAGAAAGCCACGGCUAACUACGUG
rnacentral:rRNA from 1 species